GGGACAACAGUUGGAAACGACUGCUAAUACCGCAUAAGCCCACGGGUCGGCAUCGACCAGAGGGAAAAGGAGCAAUCCGCUUUGAGAUGGCCUCGCGUCCGAUUAGCUAGUUGGUGAGGUAAUGGCCCACCAAGGCAACGAUCGGUAGCCGGACUGAGAGGUUGAACGGCCACAUUGGGACUGAGACACGGCCCAGACUCCUACGGGAGGCAGCAGUGGGGAAUAUUGCACAAUGGGGGAAACCCUGAUGCAGCGACGCCGCGUGGAGGAAGAAGGUCUUCGGAUUGUAAACUCCUGUUGUUGAGGAAGAUAAUGACGGUACUCAACAAGGAAGUGACGGCUAACUACGUGCCAGCAGCCGCGGUAAAACGUAGGUCACAAGCGUUGUCCGGAAUUACUGGGUGUAAAGGGAGCGCAGGCGGGAAGACAAGUUGGAAGUGAAAUCUAUGGGCUCAACCCAUAAACUGCUUUCAAAACUGUUUUUCUUGAGUAGUGCAGAGGUAGGCGGAAUUCCCGGUGUAGCGGUGGAAUGCGUAGAUAUCGGGAGGAACACCAGUGGCGAAGGCGGCCUACUGGGCACCAACUGACGCUGAGGCUCGAAAGUGUGGGUAGCAAACAGGAUUAGAUACCCUGGUAGUCCACACCGUAAACGAUGAUUACUAGGUGUUGGAGGAUUGACCCCUUCAGUGCCGCAG
rnacentral:rRNA from 1 species